rnacentral:rRNA from 1 species
AAUGAACGUUGGCGGCGUGGAUUAGGCAUGCAAGUCGUGCGAGAAUCGUAGCAAUACGAGGAAAGCGGCGAAAGGGAGAGUAAUGCAUGGAUAUCUACCCUCGGGUCUGGGAUAGCUACGGGAAGCUGUAGGUAAUACCAGAUGACAUCUCCGGAUCAAAGGUGUGAUUCCGCCCGAGGAGGAGUCCAUGUCCUAUUAGCUAGUUGGUGAGGUAACGGCCCACCAAGGCUGAGAUGGGUAUGGGGUGUGAGAGCACGACCCCACUCACUGGGACUGAGAUACUGCGCAGACACCUACGGGUGGCUGCAGUCGAGAAUCUUCGGCAAUGGGCGCAAGCCUGACCGAGCGACGCCGCGUGCGGGAUGAAGGCCUUCGAGUUGUAAACCGCUGUCAGUGUGGAGGAAAUUCCUAGGGGUAAUCUCCUAGGAUUGACCUAUACGCAGAGGAAGGAUGGGCUAAGUUCGUGCCAGCCGCCGCCGUAA